rnacentral:rRNA from 1 species
AGCACCGGCUAACUCCGUGCCAGCAGCCGCGGUAAUACGGAGGGUGCAAGCGUUACUCGGAAUCACUGGGCGUAAAGCGCGCGCAGGCGGCCUUUUAAGUUGGAUGUGAAAGCCUACGGCUCAACCGUAGAACUGCAUCCAAAACUAUUGGGCUAGAGUGUGGGAGAGGAAGAUGGAAUUAGUUGUGUAGGGGUAAAAUCCGUAGAGAUAACUAGGAAUACCAAAAGCGAAGGCAAUCUUCUGGAACAUUACUGACGCUGAGGCGCGAAAGCGUGGGGAGCAAACAGGAUUAGAUACCCUGGUAGUCCACGCCCUAAACGAUGAAUGUUAGUCGUCGGGUAGCUAGUCUAUUCGGUGAUGCAGCUAACGCAUUAAACAUUCCGCCUGGGGAGUACGGUCGCAAGAUUAAAACUCAAAGGAAUAGACGGGGACCCGCACAAGUGGUGGAGCAUGUGGUUUAAUUCGAAGAUACGCGAAGAACCUUACCUAGCCUUGACAUAUAUUAGAACACCCUAGAGAUAGAGUGGUGCCUUCGGGAGCUUUUAUACAGGUGCUGCACGGCUGUCGUCAGCUCGUGUCGUGAGAUGUUGGGUUAAGUCCCGCAACGAGCGCAACCCUCGUCACUAGUUACUAACGGUUCGGCCGAGGACUCUAGUGAGACUGCCUUCGUAAGGAGGAGGAAGGUGAGGACGACGUCAAGUCAUCAUGGCCCUUACGGCUAGGGCAACACACGUGCUACAAUGGCCAGGACAAUGAGAAGCGAUACCGCGAGGUGGAGCAAAUCUAUAAACCUGGUCUCAGUUCGGAUUGUAGUCUGCAACUCGACUACAUGAAGCUGGAAUCACUAGUAAUCGUAGAUCAGCUAUGCUACGGUGAAUACGUUCCCGGGUCUUGUACUCACCGCCCGUCACACCAUGGGAGUUGAUUUCACCCGAAGCGGGGAAGCUAAACUGGCUACCCUCCACGGUGGAAUCAGCGACUGGGGUGAAGUCGUAACAAGGUAACCG